UUGUGAAAAACUGAGUUUAAAUGUAUUUGGCUAAGGUGUAUGUAAACUUCCGACUUCAACUGUAAAUCCUGUCCUGCUCUUAAACCCUGGCCUCCUCUUAAAUCCUGGCCAUUAAGCAAAUGGGCCAAAUGUAAAUGCCAUUCAUUCUAUGUGUAACUAAAGAGGACAUUAUAGUGCCACAUCCAUUGAUGUCAACUGGUUUAUACUGGUUUAAUAAGGAAGAAAUGGGAUGGUACAUGUGCCUGUGAUUAAUUUGGCUUUAAAAGGGCAUCUUAACAAAGUAGCCUUGAAUAUCUACAAGUAAAUGAUGUCAUGCUAAGAGUAUUUCCAAAUAUUUAUACAUUUUUCUGUCCAGCUGUGGUCUCGCAUAUUUUCCAUGUUAUACUGAAGACUAUUACAAGAACACCUGGGAUGUGUAUACACAUCCAUUACAGAAAUGGACAAAUAGACUCACAACUGUCUGUCUAUGACCAGAAGUGGUGGAUCAGUCUGUAAGAUGCACUGCGUGGUACAUGAAUAGUGCGUGCCUGCCUUUUGGUUUUUCAGUUCCUGCAGUUAAUUAUGGAAGCAUUUAGCUUCCGAAACGGAAUUGGAAAUACAAAUGGGCAAAUGACAAAUCAAUAUCAAGUGGAUAUGCGUUUCUUUGUGACAAAAUUUAAAAUGCAAAAAAAUAUAUAUUGCAUUAUCAUUUUCAUGAUUGAAUAUGGAUAAUGUCUGCCCAUUUGAAAAAUAAAUAGCAAAGUGUGUUUUUUAUAUCUCAAUUCCGUGGUACUAUCCAGUACAACACUGACACAUUUAAAAACUAAACUUAAACGCUUGAAUGACAUUUCUCAUGUUUGCCAUUUUAUUUCCUUGUGAUUAGCCUGAAUUGUGUCAAACUAAUUACAUUCUCAAUUGUCAAUUGAUAACGCCUUUCCAUAUUGUGUGUGGUUUUAUUAAGACUUUCGUUUCGUCAUUUGCGUUAUCGUUUUUGACUUGUUUUGAUCGUCAAACGGGGGUUUCGGUAACGUGAGGCGGAAGAGGUUGCCUGUGCUUGCUGGCACCGGUCACUUUCGGUCGGAGCAGUAUCGAACACUGAGGCAUAAGGUAUCGAUGUGGCGGGGUUUUGGGUUGUCCCGGCAACAACAACCAGUAUGAAAGUCCACAGGAAAAUGAAGAAGAACAGCCGGUGUGUGGGAGGGGACACUGGAGCUACUACUGGUUAGCUAAUAUGGCUAAUUGACUAUUUAUUAUAUGUAGCUAGCUACCUGUAGGCUAGAUAGCUAGCUGGCUAUGAAGAGGCACUACUGGCUAACGUUAGCAAGCUAGCCCACUGGCUACCUUCACAACAAAACAUCGUGGAACACCUUGAGGUACGGAGUUCCAGAUGUUUGCUGCAGGAGAGUAGUGGCGGACAACACCGGAGGGCAUCUUCAAUGAGCACAUGUACAAGCGGUUCGGGCUGAUGACCUGUCUCCGUAGCUGAUAGACACCGAGAAGGAAUAUCAUCCCCAACGAUACAACUAAUGUUUCUAACUGUACUAAUGAGGAAGAGGAGAGCCGGGCUUAUCCAUCGUCUCUGAACUGCUUGAAGUGUUCUGUCAAAAUUACAGUGCCACUUUUUGUUUACCGCUAGUCACAUGUUCAAUAAGAUGUUCUGCCAACGUAAUAACUACAGACGUGUUCUUGCUCUUCUGUAAGGUUCUAACAAUCAUAUGUUGAAAACCAUUAUCAAGGGAAACUUACAGUAGUUGAACACUUUGUAGACAGUAACCCGUUUUGUUGAACGCUAGUGAUUCUAAGAACAAUAGUAACUUACCUGUAGGACAAUGUCUCUAUCACAUGUCACUAAGGGUACAGUAAAGGUAUAUCCUUAAUAAAAUAAUUGUUGAUGGUUAA